GAGUGCGAGGGGCGCUGCGUGUGCCUAGGCGCGACGCUCCGCUCCUGAUCGGGCUCAGCUGCCGCUAAGGGGAGCGUUCAGAGGCGGCGGGGGCGGCGAGAAGCACCGCUGAGACUCGGCUUCAUUUUUCUGAAGACAGCUUGAAGCCCUGCCCGGCGCCUGCCCGCUGUUGGGGCGAGGAGCGCGAUGUCGCGCCCGCCCUGCCCUGCCUGCCGCCGGUCCCGCGGCUCCGCGCCGCCGGCAGCGGCGUAGGGCUCUUGCUUGGGGCUGGGCAGCGACUGGGCGGCGCGGCAAUGGGGGCUGCCGCCCCCCGCGGCAAUCGGCGCGGAGCGGAUUACAGAUGAGCGUCGCGGCCCGGCGCCCCGGGCCCGCGGGCACCCCGGCAUGUAGAGCCUGACGGAGCGGCGCGGAGGUUGCCCAGUCACUAUGAACCAUGGCCCAGCUAUACUACAAAAAGGUAAACUACUCACCGUACCGAGACCGGAUCCCGUUACAGAUCGUGCGAGCAGAGGCAGAGCUCUCAGUUGAAGAGAAGGCCUACCUCAGCGCUGUGGAGAAGGGGGACUAUGCCAGUGUGAAACAUGCCUUGCAAGAGGCAGAGAUCUACUACAACAUCAACAUUAACUGUAUGGAUCCUCUUGGUCGCAGUGCCCUUUUAAUAGCCAUAGAGAAUGAAAACCUGGAGAUCAUGGAGCUGCUUUUGAGCCACAGUGUGUAUGUGGGAGAUGCUCUGCUGUAUGCAAUACGGAAAGAGGUGGUGGGAGCCGUGGAGCUGCUGCUGAACUACAGGAAGCCGAGUGGUGAAAAACAGGUUCCAACCUUGAUGAUGGACACUCAGUUUUCAGAAUUCACUCCAGAUAUCACCCCAAUAAUGCUGGCGGCUCACACCAACAACUAUGAAAUCAUCAAACUGCUUGUCCAAAGACGGGUAACGAUUCCACGCCCACACCAGAUCAGAUGCAACUGUGUGGAAUGUGUUUCCAGUUCAGAGGUGGACAGCCUGAGGCAUUCCAGGUCAAGGCUGAACAUCUACAAAGCCUUAGCCAGCCCUUCGUUGAUUGCCUUAUCAAGUGAGGACCCCAUCUUGACGGCCUUCCGACUGGGCUGGGAGCUGAAGGAGCUCAGCAAAGUGGAAAAUGAGUUCAAGGCUGAAUAUGAAGAACUUUCGCAGCAGUGCAAGCGUUUUGCUAAGGACCUUUUGGAUCAAGCACGGAGUUCUCGAGAAUUGGAGAUCAUUCUCAACCACAGAGAUGAUCAAAGUGAAGAGCUGGAUCCUCAAAAAUGUCAUGACUUGGCAAAGUUAAAGGUAGCAAUAAAGUAUCACCAGAAAGAGUUUGUUGCUCAGCCAAACUGCCAGCAGCUACUAGCAACACUUUGGUACGAUGGUUUUCCAGGAUGGAGGCGGAAGCACUGGGCAGUAAAACUCUUGACCUGUGUCACCAUUGGGCUACUAUUUCCUGUGCUAUCUGUGGCGUAUCUGAUUGCACCGAAGAGCAGGCUGGGACUGUUCAUUAAAAAGCCAUUUAUAAAGUUUAUCUGCCACACCGGCUCUUACCUGACCUUCCUCUUCAUGCUCCUGCUGGCAUCGCAGCACAUUGUCAGGACUGACCUUCAUAUGCAGGGACCACCUCCCACCAUCGUGGAGUGGAUGAUCCUGCCCUGGGUUCUAGGUUUUAUCUGGGGAGAAAUCAAGGAAAUGUGGGACGGUGGAUUCAAUGAGUAUGUACAUGACUGGUGGAAUCUGAUGGAUUUUGCAAUGAACUCCCUCUAUCUUGCAACUAUCUCCCUUAAAAUUGUUGCCUAUGUCAAGUAUAACGGUUCUCGUCCGAGGGAGGAAUGGGAAAUGUGGCACCCAACUCUCAUUGCAGAAGCCCUCUUUGCAAUAUCCAACAUUUUGAGUUCUUUGCGUCUCAUAUCCCUGUUUACAGCAAAUUCACACCUGGGACCCUUGCAGAUUUCUCUGGGACGCAUGCUGCUAGACAUCCUUAAGUUCCUUUUUAUCUACUGUCUGGUGCUGCUGGCUUUUGCCAAUGGACUGAACCAGCUUUAUUUUUAUUACGAGACCAGUGCCUCGGAGGAACCCAACAACUGCAAGGGGAUCCGAUGUGAGAAACAGAACAAUGCUUUCUCCACACUUUUCGAGACCCUUCAGUCACUCUUCUGGUCUGUGUUUGGGCUGCUGAAUCUCUACGUCACCAACGUGAAAGCCAGACAUGAGUUCACAGAAUUUGUUGGGGCCACUAUGUUUGGGACCUACAACGUCAUCUCUCUUGUUGUGCUGCUGAACAUGCUCAUAGCCAUGAUGAACAACUCCUACCAGCUCAUUGCUGACCAUGCAGAUAUUGAGUGGAAGUUUGCACGAACGAAGCUCUGGAUGAGUUAUUUUGAUGAAGGUGCCACUCUGCCCCCUCCUUUUAACAUUGUCCCCAGUCCGAAGUCAGUCUGGUACCUUUGCAAGUGGAUUCACAAUCAGCUGUGCCCUGGCAACGAUUCUUACAACGAACAGAAGAGGCAUGAAAACCUUAAAACAUUCACAGAGCGGCACGCUGACAACCUGAUUCAGAAUCAACAUUACCAGGAAGUGAUAAGAAAUCUUGUGAAAAGGUAUGUCGCAGCAAUGAUAAGAACCUCCAAAACCAACGAAGGUUUAACUGAAGAAAAUUUCAAGGAGUUAAAACAGGAUAUCUCAAGUUUUCGCUAUGAAGUUCUUGAUCUCUUAGGAAAUAGAAAGCCCCAGAGGAGAAGUUAUUCCACCAGCAGCACAGAGGUGUCACAAAAGGAUGAAGCAAAUGAGGAAGGUGCUGGGGAAAAAUCUAAAGCCAAGAGUGUGUCUUUCAAUGUAGCCAACAAAAAAAAGGACUUCAAUGUAUCUGCUCUGAUUAAAACCAUGUCUGGGAUCGAUAUGGUGGAGCAGAAGCCAAAAAGCAAUGGGAUUGGUAAGCGCUCCUUUGUCCGGAAUGGAAAUAGAGUCCAGAGACUUUCCAGCUCCAAGAAGGAGUCCUUUAAGAGACUGGGCCUGCUUUUCUCCAAGAUGAAUGGACAUGUACCUGAACCAAAUUCAGAACCCAUGUACACUAUUUCAGAUGGAAUUAUUCAGCCACAUUACAUGUGGAAAGACAUUAAAUAUUCUCAAAUUGAUAAAGAGAAAGAAGAGAAUUGUUCCAAAAGUGAAAUUAACCUCAAUGAGGUGGGCUACAGUGGGAACACAAGACUUACAGGACAGAGCAAGGAGUGCCCUGUGGUUUGUACCAGCUCCCUUCACUGUGCUUCCAGUAUUUGUUCCUCUAAUUCCAAACUUAUAGACUCGUCUGAGGAUGUGUUUGAUUCAUGGGGAGAGGCUUGUGACUUGUUUAUAAACCAGUGGAAAGAUGGGCAAGAGGACCAUGUUACCACUCGGCUAUAAGCAGAGCUAUAUUCACACAGCUAACUGUUUCUCAUUGUUUGCUCUCAUCCCAUUCAGCCUUUCUGUUUCCUUUCUGUCCACGGGUGCAAAAGUGUAAAACUCUGUUAAUCAGUUUUCCAGCUAUCUGCACCUUUUAGAAUUUACUUUCUUUUUUACACUCAAAUGCUAAACUAAAUGUUUCACCAUUUACAAGCUUGCUGUAAGCCACAGGAAUCCCUUCAGAUGCACUUGGUUGUCAGACCCCACAGACUUCAGACAUGCUGGUGGCCGAGUGAAGGAUUUCUCCAGUGCUCUCAUCAUACCACUGCCACUCUCCAACAUCAUCAGCUCUGCCUCCUACUCGGCUUUCCUCGUCAACACAACCAGCUGGGCCAGCGCUGCAGUCAGCCAGCUGCACCCAAUUCUUAAAGCAGCUCACAAGAAAAGACUAAACCAAACUGAGCAGGUUUGCAGAAAGACAAAAGGUAGCAAGAGCUGGUACAGGGGGAUGAAGGAGUGCAGUUGAAUUGUUUUAGACCUCACCUACCCAGACUGCAGUUCCUGACCUCUGCUUUACGUGGGGCCAGCAAAUCUUUGUGGCGUUUCCUGCGUAAAGGGUAAGAAUGAAAACAAUUCAAGUAUGGUUACACAGAUUACAUCAGCUGCCUUUGAGACUGGGGCAGAAGCAGGGUUUGGGUGCUUGGACAGUAGAAAGUUUUCUGCAAGUGCAAGCACACUGGUGGUGAUGAUACUGCAUCGUUCAAACAUAGCACUGUAUUGACAAGUAACAAAAUGAAAUGCAAUUAAUUCUGCUGUGGUGUCCCCCAAAAAAUGACACAAGGCAGCACAAAUACCUUCUGAGCAAACUGCAAGAUCUGUUCCCCUGCUGCAUCCUGAAAGUGGGAGUAGGAAUGGCCAUGUUGGAAUGUCCUGAUGGAUAAUGCAGGAAUCUUCCGGUAAUGUUGGUAAAGGCAAGAGGUACAGCUCAUGGCUGCUUGGCUGGGGCUCCCCUGGGAUUUGCUUCAUGACUCAGUUUCUAGCUCCCAGCUGUGAGCGAGCUUGAGCUGCCUGGAAUUUAACGCCAAUAUUUGAUUUGGCUGUGAUUAAUACUUGUGUCCAGGAGUUUGCAAAGCUGUCAGAUUGAGCCCCCAAAAGGCAAAAUGCUGUUUGAUUGUAUCUAUGCAUCCCCUUUAGUAGCAAUAGACAUUAGAGCAGCUGGUGAAUUAUUACUCUACAACAGGAGCUUCAGGGAAGGGAAAUUAAAAUAUCUUGUGAAAAAUACAUUUGAUAAGCAAAAUUGUGGGGUUUAAAAAAAUUCACUUGCAGUCACAGUAUUUGGGUUUUCACUGGCAUUCUUCCAUUUUCAGUUGCUCAGGAAGAAAACAGGUUUUAGUGAAAAUUACUCUUUCUUUCAGAGAAAUAAAUGAACUACCCCUGUGCUGUCUGUGCAGGCAGACCAGGGAGGAAGCUGAUGGGACACUUGGAGCUCCUGUGAGGAGUCAAAACCUUCCCUUAGCUUGGGUUGAGGAUGUACAUCUGUGGUCCAACUGGUGCACACCUAGCCUGUAUUCCCUGGGCUUCAGUAAUAAGCCUGAUACAUGUGCAAGGAAUUAGGAAUAGAGAUCUCAACCACUUUACCUUUCUUUAAGUUUCUUGCUCUUGAAGUUGUUUUAUUUCUCUUCUCCCAUCCCUCAUAUCAUUUUCACCUGGCUUUUUCAAGCAGCACCCCACAAAUGAUCACCAGUCAAGAAGCUGAAAAAUAGGCAGGGUUAAGAAUCUCCAACAGAGCUAGAUGGUGUUUGUACUCAGGUCAGAGAUUAAAGAAGUUGCUUCAGAAACAAGAAAUCAACUGACAUAGCUGCAGAUAAUUUGGAUAACUGCAUUUGUGUAUUUCUCACUGACUGGUAUAUAUGUAAAUACUGCUGUACCAGUAUACGUGGCCCCUCCAGAGGAAGCAUGCAGAGCAGCUGGAGCACAGGAUUAGCCAACAGCACUUCUCAGCUCUGCGCCCACCUCUGCCACUGACUCACCUGUGACCUUGGGCAAGUCACUGAGCCUCCAAUGCCUCAGUUUCCUCAUCUGUAAAAUACGGAUAAUACUACUUACCUACCUCGUAGGGGGGGUUAGUUUAUUAGUUAGAAGCACUUUCAGAUCUUCAAAUUAAAGGCGCUAUAUACAGUGAGUAGUUAAUACUGGUAGCAGUAGUGUAGGUACUUUUAUUUUCUUACAAGUACUUCAGGUUAGGAUUUAACCUGUAACCAUUAGAAUAGUUUUCCAUGUAAAAAACCAGCAUGCAUUCCUGCAGAGGGACUUUAGGAGAUGUCUACAGUAGAGAAAGAGCAGCAGUGGUGUAUCCUGGAAGCCUGAACUCUUAAAACCCUUGCUUUUGUGAUUUAUGUCUCACUCUUAAUGUCACCUUACUGUAUUUGUGUUUCAUCUUUUUUCUGAUGGUACAUGUGAAAUAAUUUCUAGCAGAAACAGCCACUGUAAAUAGUAAGAGUAUUUAAAUAAAUAUAUUAAUGUAUAAAUAUACAA